ACGGAUAUAGUUCAAAGGUAGAACUACGGACUCCAAACCCGUUCAUGUGCGUUCGAAUCGCGCUAUCCGUA
rnacentral:tRNA from 1 species